rnacentral:rRNA from 1 species
UUAAGCGACUAAGCGUACACGGUGGAUGCCCUGGCAGUCAGAGGCGAUGAAGGACGUGCUAAUCUGCGAAAAGCGCCGGCGAGGUGAUAUGAACCCUUGACCCGGCGAUGUCCGAAUGGGGAAACCCAGUGCAAUCCGUUGCACUAUCGUUAACUGAAUACAUAGGUUAACGAGGCGAACCGGGGGAACUGAAACAUCUAAGUACCCCGAGGAAAAGAAAUCAACCGAGAUUCCCCCAGUAGCGGCGAGCGAACGGGGAGCAGCCCGGAGUCUGAAUCAGCUUGUGUGUUAGUGGAACGGUCUGGAAAGUCCGACGGUACAGGGUGAUAGUCCCGUACACGAAAGCACACAUGCUGUGAACUCGAAGAGUAGGGCGGGACACGUGGUAUCCUGUCUGAAUAUGGGGGGACCAUCCUCCAAGGCUAAAUACUCCUGACUGACCGAUAGUGAACCAGUACCGUGAGGGAAAGGCGAAAAGAACCCCGGCGAGGGGAGUGAAAAAGAACCUGAAACCGUGUACGUACAAGCAGUGGGAGCCUCUUUAUGGGGUGACUGCGUACCUUUGUAUAAUGGGUCAGCGACUUAUAUUCUGUAGCAAGGUUAACCGUAUAGGGGAGCCGAAGGAAACCGAGUCUUAACUGGGCGUUAAGUUGCAGGGUAUAGACCCGAAACCCGGUGAUCUAGCCAUGGGCAGGUUGAAGGUUGGGUAACACUAACUGGAGGACCGAACCGACUAAUGUUGAAAAAUUAGCGGAUGAUCUGUGGCUGGGGGUGAAAGGCCAAUCAAACCGGGAGAUAGCUGGUUCUCCCCGAAAGCUAUUUAGGUAGCGCCUCGUGAACUCAUCUUCGGGGGUAGAGCACUGUUUCGGCUAGGGGGCCAUCCCGGCUUACCAACCCGAUGCAAACUACGAAUACCGAAGAAUGUUAUCACGGGAGACACACGGCGGGUGCUAACGUCCGUCGUGAAGAGGGAAACAACCCAGACCGCCAGCUAAGGUCCCAAAGUCAUGGUUAAGUGGGAAACGAUGUGGGAAGGCACAGACAGCCAGGAUGUUGGCUUAGAAGCAGCCAUCAUUUAAAGAAAGCGUAAUAGCUCACUGGUCGAGUCGGCCUGCGCGGAAGAUGUAACGGGCUAAACCAUGCACCGAAGCUGCGGCAGCGACGCUUAUGCGUUGUUGGGUAGGGAGCGUUCUGUAAGCCGUUGAAGGUGUCCUGUGAGGGGUGCUGGAGGUAUCAGAAGUGCGAAUGCUGACAUAAGUAACGAUAAAGCGGGUGAAAAGCCCGCUCGCCGGAAGACCAAGGGUUCCUGUCCAACGUUAAUCGGGGCAGGGUGAGUCGACCCCUAAGGCGAGGCCGAAAGGCGUAGUCGAUGGGAAACAGGUUAAUAUUCCUGUACUUGGUGUUACUGCGAAGGGGGGACGGAGAAGGCUAUGUCAGCCGGGCGACGGUUGUCCCGGUUUAAGCAUGUAGGCGGAGGUUCCAGGUAAAUCCGGUACCUUAUUAACGCUGAGGUGUGAUGACGAGGCACUACGGUGCUGAAGUGAUAAAUGCCCUGCUUCCAGGAAAAGCCUCUAAGCAUCAGGUAACACGAAAUCGUACCCCAAACCGACACAGGUGGUCAGGUAGAGAAUACCAAGGCGCUUGAGAGAACUCGGGUGAAGGAACUAGGCAAAAUGGUGCCGUAACUUCGGGAGAAGGCACGCUGAUGUGUAGGUGAAGUCCCUGCGGACGGAGCUGAAAUCAGUCGAAGAUACCAGCUGGCUGCAACUGUUUAUUAAAAACACAGCACUGUGCAAACACGAAAGUGGACGUAUACGGUGUGACGCCUGCCCGGUGCCGGAAGGUUAAUUGAUGGGGUUAGCGGCAACGCGAAGCUCUUGAUCGAAGCCCCGGUAAACGGCGGCCGUAACUAUAACGGUCCUAAGGUAGCGAAAUUCCUUGUCGGGUAAGUUCCGACCUGCACGAAUGGCGUAAUGAUGGCCAGGCUGUCUCCACCCGAGACUCAGUGAAAUUGAACUCGCUGUGAAGAUGCAGUGUACCCGCGGCAAGACGGAAAGACCCCGUGAACCUUUACUAUAGCUUGACACUGAACACUGGUCCUUGAUGUGUAGGAUAGGUGGGAGGCUUUGAAGCGUGGACGCCAGUCUGCGUGGAGCCAACCUUGAAAUACCACCCUUUAAUGGCUGGUGUUCUAACGUAGACCCGUAAUCCGGGUUGCGGACAGUGUCUGGUGGGUAGUUUGACUGGGGCGGUCUCCUCCCAAAGAGUAACGGAGGAGCACGAAGGUUGGCUAAUCCUGGUCGGACAUCAGGAGGUUAGUGCAAUGGCAUAAGCCAGCUUGACUGCGAGCGUGACGGCGCGAGCAGGUGCGAAAGCAGGUCAUAGUGAUCCGGUGGUUCUGAAUGGAAGGGCCAUCGCUCAACGGAUAAAAGGUACUCCGGGGAUAACAGGCUGAUACCGCCCAAGAGUUCAUAUCGACGGCGGUGUUUGGCACCUCGAUGUCGGCUCAUCACAUCCUGGGGCUGAAGUAGGUCCCAAGGGUAUGGCUGUUCGCCAUUUAAAGUGGUACGCGAGCUGGGUUUAGAACGUCGUGAGACAGUUCGGUCCCUAUCUGCCGUGGGCGCUGGAGAAUUGAGGGGGGCUGCUCCUAGUACGAGAGGACCGGAGUGGACGCAUCACUGGUGUUCGGGUUGUCAUGCCAAUGGCACUGCCCGGUAGCUAAAUGCGGAAGAGAUAAGUGCUGAAAGCAUCUAAGCACGAAACUUGCCCCGAGAUGAGUUCUCCCUGAGACCUUGAGUCUCCUGAAGGAACGUUGAAGACGACGACGUUGAUAGGUCGGGUGUGUAAGCGCAGCGAUGCGUUGAGCUAACCGAUACUAAUGAACCGUGAGGCUUAACCU